AAGUCGUAACAAGGUUUCCGUAGAUGAACCUGCGGAAGGAUCAUUAAAACGUAAAAAACCCCCCCCGUGAACAUUCAAUCCUGCUCUUGUAACCCGCGUAGGUCGCAAUCUCUGGUAAAUCAUGCCCGGAAAGUAGUUUUGAUUCAGAGACCUCUGGCUACGUGAGAACAUUGGAACAGUUACAAUCCCCAAGCAUGCAGUGUCUGAAAGUGUCACUGAUUGUGCCAGGAUAGCGCUUCAACGAUUCCUGUAGACCGUACACUCGGGCAGGAGCUAUGCCAAAGGGUCCCCAUGCCCCCUUAUAACCCCACAGUUUAAUGUGAAGCUCAAUGUAAUACAUUCGGUAAAAAAACCGAACAACUGUUAACAAUGGAUAUCUUGGUUCUC
rnacentral:misc_RNA from 1 species